rnacentral:rRNA from 1 species
AUUGAACGCUGGCGGCAUGCCUAACACAUGCAAGUCGAACGAGUGGCGGACGGGUGAGUAAUGUCUGGGCAACUGCCUGAUGUAGGGGGCAAACUACUGGAAACGGUAGCUAAUACCGCAUACCAUCAGAUGUGCCCACAUGGGAUUAGCUAGUUGGUGGGGUAACGGCUCACCAAGGCGACGAUCCCUAGCUGGUCUGAGAGGAUGACCGGCCACACUGGAACUGAGACACGGUCCAGACUCCUACGGGAGGCAGCAGUGGGGAAUAUUGCACAAUGGACGAAAGCCUGACGCAGCCAUGCCGCGUGUAUGAAGAAGGCCUUCGGGUUGUAAAGUACUUUCGGCGGGGAGGCGUUACCCGCAGAAGAAGCACCGGCUAACUCCGUGCCAGCAGCCGCGGUAAUAC